AAGAUGUAUUUAUAUUAGAGCUUCUUCGUUUCAAUAAAUUUCGGUUUGUAACAGUUGAAUUUAGCCGCCAGAGAGACUACGGAACUCAGUGAUAGGUAGGUCCGUAGGGUGGGGGGCUUUCACCUAAGCGGUGAUACGACGAAGGAGAAUCGAUCGAGAAGUGGAAGAGAGAGGACGAAAGAGAAUCGAUCGAGAAGUGGAGGAGAGAGGACGGUUGAGAAUCGAUCGAGCGGGAAGCGGGAGACGACGGAUGAGGGGAUCGUCAGCAGAGUGCGCUCGCAAUAAAGAAUCAUCACGAAAGAAGAAAGACAACCGACGAAACA